rnacentral:rRNA from 1 species
AUUGAACGCUGGCGGCAGGCCUAACACAUGCAAGUCGAGCGGAUGAAGGGAGCUUGCUCCUGGAUUCAGCGGCGGACGGGUGAGUAAUGCCUAGGAAUCUGCCUGGUAGUGGGGGAUAACGUCCGGAAACGGGCGCUAAUACCGCAUACGUCCUGAGGGAGAAAGUGGGGGAUCUUCGGACCUCACGCUAUCAGAUGAGCCUAGGUCGGUUUAGCUAGUUGGUGGAGUAAAGGCCUACCAAGGCGACGAUCCGUAACUGGUCUGAGAGGAUGAUCAGUCACCCGGGAGCUGAGACACGGUCCAGACUCCUACGGGAGGCAGCAGUGGGGAAUAUUGGACAAUGGGCGAAAGCCUGAUCCAGCCAUGCCGCGUGUGUGAAGAAGGUCUUCGGAUCGUAAAGCCCUUUAAGUUGGGAGGAAGGGCAGUAAGUUAAUACCUUGCUGUUUUGACGUUACCAACAGAAUAAGCACCGGCUAACUUCGUG